AUAUUUACACUAAUUUCAUGCAAAAUGCCGCCGCAGUUAUCUCUUAUUAAGUUAACUCGGGUUAAACGUGAGUUAAAUAUCCACCACAGUUAAAAAAAAAUUAAAAUACCAAUUUUCUCCUUAACUUAAGGACAAACAAAAAAUGUUGGUGACGGUAGAGGAAUAUAUUGGAAAAGACCAAAAGUUAAAAUACUUUUUGUGCUCCUAACUUUAAGAGCAAAUAAGAAAGUCAGUAAUGGUGGAAGGGUAUAUUUGAAAAGACAAAAUAGUAAUUUUACAGAAAUAACAGAGUUAAAUAACAGAUUUUAACUUUAGAGAUAUAUUAGAAAUAGGUUGGAAAAUAGAAAGAAUAUUUUCAAUAUUAGCCUUCUAAAAGGAGUAAAUCGAAAAAUCGGAAACUUUUUAGGAGUAUAUAAACAAUUGCCCUAAGUUAAAGUAUCGUACAUCGACUCGAGUGGAACAAAUUUAGAAAAUUAGAUAAUAAAAUUAAAAUUAUAAAAAGUUUAGAUUCGUCUGUAACGAUUCCACCAGCUAGUAAUAAUAAUUCAAUGAAUCUAAAAUAUUUAAAUUUAAUUAUUAUUAUUAUUAGAACGAAUAUCUCUUAUAUUUCAAAUGAGAAUUCUUUUUUCAUCCAAUAUGAAAAUACGAAACUGUUGGG
rnacentral:lncRNA from 1 species